rnacentral:rRNA from 1 species
GCCCUGCCGUAAACUUUUAAUUACAUCCAAACCACCGGGGAACUACGAGCCAAGCUUAAAACCCAAAGGACUUGACGGUACCCCACUUCCCCCUAGAGGAGCCUGUUCUGUAAUCGAUAAUCCACGUUUAACCUCACCAUUUUUAGUUACCAGCCUGUAUACCUCCGUCGUCAGCUUACCACGUGAGCGUCAGUUAGUGAGCCCAAUGUAUUUCACCAAAACGUCAGGUCAAGGUGCAGUAUAUGAAAUGGAAAGAGAUGGGCUACACUUUCUACUUUAGAAAAAACGAAAGACUACAUAUGAAAUCUAGUUAGAAGGCGGAUUUAGUAGUAAAAAGGAAUCAGCAUGUCCCUUUUAACCUGGCACUGGGGUGUGU